AUUCUGGUUGAUCCUGCCAGUAGUUAUAUGCUUGUCUCAAAGAUUAAGCCAUGCAUGUCUAAGUACACACGAAUUAAAAGUGAAACCGCAAAAGGCUCAUUAUAUCAGUUAUGGUUCCUUAGAUCGUUAACAGUUACUUGGAUAACUGUGGUAAUUCUAGAGCUAAUACAUGCAAUUAAAACAUGAACCUUAUGGGACAUGUGCUUUUAUUAGGCUAAAACCAAGCGAUCGCAAGAUCGUUAUAUUGGUUGAACUCUAGAUAACAUGCAGAUCGUAUGGUCUUGUACCGACGACAGAUCU
rnacentral:rRNA from 1 species